ensembl:rRNA 5S_rRNA 5S ribosomal RNA
GUCUAUGGCCAUACCACCCUGAAUGUAUCUGAUUGCUGCUGAUCUUGGAAGCUAAGCAUGGUCAGGUCUGGUGAGUACUUGGAUGGGAGAACACCUGGGAAUACUGAGUGCUGUAGGCU